CUCAGCAGCCCCUCAGGCAGCAACAAGGAGCAGCGCUACAGUUACCUAAACAAGAAGGACUAAUAACAGAUGCACAUCGGAUGAGAGGGCUUCGUUUGUUGGAACGGGACGGUUUUCGGGAGGCGAAACAAGCAAGCUGAUUUCCAGGAUGUUUAAUCCGGCACCAGAAUCUGUUGCAUAGAUUUUGUCCUUGUUUCCAAUGGAAGUGCAGAUUUUUUUUUCA